GCGUCGGUGGUUCAGUGGUAGAAUACUCGCCUGUCACGCGGGUGACCCGGGUUCAAUUUCCGCCUGUCGCA
rnacentral:tRNA from 1 species